UCGUGCUAGGCGGGGAGCUAGCGGUGCCCUGUACCCGCAAUCCGCUAUAGCGGGGCGGAAUCCCGCGCUCAAGGCCUGGCCCAGCCGAGUCUGCUCGGGCUAUUCGUCGUUGAAGGCCGGGUUCUACGCGGCGGAGCCCUGUGAACCCCGUCAGGUCCGGAAGGAAGCAGCGGUAAACGGCAAGCUCCGGGUGCCGUAGAGCGGCCUGGCCGGAGCCGAAUAGUUCGGGCAAGGCGAGUGGGUCCUUGUCGACGGCGCGGUGCACGA
rnacentral:SRP_RNA from 1 species